rnacentral:rRNA from 1 species
AUUGAACGCUGGCGGCAGGCCUAACACAUGCAAGUCGAACGAGUGGCAGAGGGGUGAGUAAUGUCUGGGAAACUGCCCGAUGGAGGGGGAUAGCUACGGGAAAGGGUAGCAAAUACCGCAUACCAUCGGAUGUGCACAGAAGGGAUGAGCAAGUAGGGGGGGUAAAGGCUCACCGAGGCGACGAUCCCUAGCUGGUCUGAGAGGGUGACCAGCCACACUGUAACUGAGACACGGUCCAGACUCCUACGUGAGGCAGCAGGGGGGAAUAUUGCACAAUGGGCGCAAGCCUGAUGCAGCCAUGCCGCGUGUAUGAAGAAGGCCUUCGGGUUGUAAAGUACUUUCAGCGAGGAGGCGUUACUCGCAGAAGAAGCACCGGCUAACUCCGUGCCAGCAGCCGCGGUAAUUC